GACGAACGCUGGCGGCGUGCUUAACACAUGCAAGUCGAGCGGUAAGGCCCUUUCGGGGGUACACGAGCGGCGAACGGGUGAGUAACACGUGGGUGACCUGCCCUCAGCUCUGGGAUAAGCCCGGGAAACUGGGUCUAAUACCGGAUAUGACUCCAUGACGCAUGUGUGGGGUGAAAGCCUUGUGCGGCUGAGGAUGGGCCCG
rnacentral:rRNA from 1 species